rnacentral:rRNA from 1 species
UUGGAGGGCAAGUCUGGUGCCAGCAGCCGCGGUAAUUCCAGCUCCAAUAGCGUAUAUUAAAGUUGUUGCAGUUAAAAAGCUCGUAGUUGAAUUUCGGAGUUUGUCGGUUGGUCGGGCUUCACUGUCCGCACUGGCCUGAUGGAUUCCUACCUUCUGAAUAACCAGCAUGCUAUUAAGUUAGUGCGUUGGGGAAGCAGAGCUAUUACCUUGAAAAAAUUAGAGUGCUUAAAGCAGGCUUAUGCUUGAAUAGAUUAGCAUGGAAUAAUAAAAUAGGACGGCAUGGUUCUAUUUUGUUGGUUUCUAGGAUCACCGUAAUGAUUAAUAGGGAUAGUUGGGGGCAUUAGUAUUCAAUUGUCAGAGGUGAAAUUCUUGGAUUUAUUGAAGACUAACUUCUGCGAAAGCAUUUGCCAAGGAUGUUUUCAUUAAUCAAGAACGAAAGUUAGGGGAUCGAAGACGAUCAGAUACCGUCGUAGUCUUAACCAUAAACUAUGCCGACUAGGGAUCGGACGAUGUUAAUUUUUUAAUGACUCGUUCGGCGCCUUACGGGAAAC